UACGAAGGGUGCAAGCGUUACUCGGAAUUACUGGGCGUAAAGGGUGCGUAGGUGGUCGUUUUAAGUCCGUUGUGAAAUCCCUGGGCUCAACCUGGGAAUGGCAGUGGAUACUGCCUAGCUAGAGUGUCGGAGAGGUUGGUGGAAUUCUCGGUGUAGAGGUGAAAUUCGUAGAUAUCGAGAGGAACACCGGUGGCGAAGGCGGCCAACUGGACGAACACUGAC
rnacentral:rRNA from 1 species